UAGACCGCCUGGGGAGUACGGCCGCAAGGUUAAAACUCAAAUGAAUUGACGGGGGCCCGCACAAGCGGUGGAGCAUGUGGUUUAAUUCGAUGCAACGCGAAGAACCUUACCUGGUCUUGACAUCCACAGAACUUUCCAGAGAUGGAUUGGUGCCUUCGGGAACUGUGAGACAGGUGCUGCAUGGCUGUCGUCAGCUCGUGUUGUGAAAUGUUGGGUUAAGUCCCGCAACGAGCGCAACCCUUAUCCUUUGUUGCCAGCGAUUAGGUCGGGAACUCAAAGGAGACUGCCAGUGAUAAACUGGAGGAAGGUGGGGAUGACGUCAAGUCAUCAUGGCCCUUACGACCAGGGCUACACACGUGCUACAAUGGCGCAUACAAAGAGAAGCGACCUCGCGAGAGCAAGCGGACCUCAUAAAGUGCGUCGUAGUCCGGAUUGGAGUCUGCAACUCGACUCCAUGAAGUCGGAAUCGCUAGUAAUCGUGGAUCAGAAUGCCACGGUGAAUACGUUCCCGGGCCUUGUACACACCGCCCGUCACACCAUGGGAGUGGGUUGCAAAAGAAGUAGGUAGCUUAACCUUCGGGAGGGCGCUUACCACUUUGUGAUUCAUGACUGGGGUGAAGUCGUAACAAGGUAACCGUAGGGGAACCUGCGGUUGGAUCACCUCCUUACCUUAAAGAA
rnacentral:rRNA from 1 species